GGUGGGAAGAAACAUUUGCCCCAUAAAUAAACAUAUAUACAUCUCUACUUCAAAAGAUAACUUUAAGGGAGGUAUGUGGGUGGGAAUUUUGAACAAAUUGUUUGAUAAGAAUCACAAGUUAACACAUCAAAUGCUGAUGAUAAAAGGAAGUGACCACAAUGCACUUACACGUGAACUCGUGCUGACCCGCAAGAUCAUUGACCAAUAAGAAAGAUGAAAUCCAAUCAUGCAUUGGUCAUAAGUGAAAUUUCUCUGCACGUGAAAACAUUUUAUCUAAUUUCAACAAUUUAUCGUUUAAUUAA
rnacentral:lncRNA from 1 species